AGCAGCCGCGGUAAUUCCAGCUCCAAUAGCGUAUAUUAAAGUUGUUGCAGUUAAAAAGCUCGUAGUUGAAUUUCGGGGUUAGUAGGUUGGUCAUGCCUCUGGUAUGUACUGGUCUCACUGAUUCCUCCUUCCUGAUGAGCCGUAAUGCCAUUAAUUUGGUGUUGCGGGGAAUUUGGACUGUUACUUUGAAAAAAUUAGAGUGUUUAAAGCAAGCUAACGCUUGAAUACAUUAGCAUGGAAUAAUGAAAUAGGACGUUCGAUCCUAUUUUGUUGGUUUCUAGGAUUGACGUAAUGAUUAAUAGGGAUAGUUGGGGGCAUUAGUAUUCAAUUGUCAGAGGUGAAAUUCUUGGAUUUAUUGAAGACUAACUACUGCGAAAGCAUUUGCCAAGGAUGUUUUCAUUAAUCAAGAACGAAAGUUAGGGGAUCGAAGACGAUCAGAUACCGUCGUAGUCUUAACCAUAAACUAUGCCGACUAG
rnacentral:rRNA from 1 species